AUCUCUUCGUAGACCUAUUAUAAAAUUAGAACUAUACACAGAAGAUUAGCAUGUCCCUGUGCAUAGAUGACACACAUAAAUCGAAUAAUGAUCCAAAAUUUU